rnacentral:rRNA from 1 species
UACGUAGGGUGCGAGCGUUGUCCGGAAUUAUUGGGCGUAAAGAGCUUGUAGGCGGUUUGUCGCGUCUGCCGUAAAAGCCCAGGGCUUAACCCUGGGUCUGCGGUGGGUACGGGCAGACUAGAGUGUGGUAGGGGAGACUGGAAUUCCUGGUGUAGCGGUGAAAUGCGCAGAUAUCAGGAGGAACACCGAUGGCGAAGGCAGGUCUCUGGGCCACUACUGACGCUGAGAAGCGAAAGCAUGGGGAGCAAACAGG